UGUUUACUCUCUUUUAAAUAAAGAUUCGUGGCGCUUGAGACAAGAACUUUAGAAGCACAGCAGCCACAGCAGCCAGGACCCACCUUUAUUCCAAUAACAGCUGGCCCUCCUGUGGUAGUCGUUGAAUCUCCGCCAGAGCCUAAACCCUGCUGUGACUAUGGCUGCUGUGAGUGUGAUGAYAACUUUAAAUGGAACAGUUUUUAUGGAAAAGGAGCUGGUGUUAUUAUUCUACUGAUACUGAUGUACCUCAUUGGUUUCGUCCUCUGCGUUGCUUUUAUUGUUAUUAUUAUUGCAUUGGCUAUAGUAGUCUGUUUCUGCGGGGAUGAUGACAACGACUGAAUYGAAUCGCUAACAACAGCAGAWUCAGAWUCAGAAUCUUUUUCACUUAAGGGAACUUCAGAUUUKACAACGAGUACGAGRUUGAGUACGAGUACUUGUUUUCAAACCAGCUUUUAUUGUGUUGUCCAUACCGGAUUUCAAUCCACUUCGUGUUUUUAUUAAUUUGAUGUUUCAAUCUAUUCACAGGAAUGCAAUUCAUGAUUAAUAGCACACUUAAGAAAAAAUUUUAAACUCGUACUCGUUGUCAAAUCUGAAGUUCCCGAUCCGCCUUUCUUUCUCUUUCUCUUUCUUUUUUUAUUUUGUUUUAUUUUUAUUUUAUAUUUUAUUUUUCUUUGUAUUUUAUAUUUUUUGUGGGACAACAUGGCUGCCAUUACGUGUCCUCUAUUCUGAUUGGCCGACUACGCGAAUGACGCGUUUGAUUUGUUGAAAGGCUGAUAUGAAUAGCUGGACGGCCUAUGUUCACACGUGAUAGCCACAGUGUGCGAUAGCACAUGCACAACGAUACAGUCGUUAUCGGGGUCGUGUCACGCUCUCAAAUAGCUUUUGCGUAAUUAUUAAUUGGCAACCAAUUGCUUUUGGUUAAAAUUUACCUACAUGUAAAUCAUGUAAAACAAAGGAAUACCAGCUAACAGUUAUCUUGUUAAUAUCAGUUAUCAGCUGAAUAAAACCGUAAUUCUCAGUUAACA